GAAUCUGUUCAGGGCGGGGUGGAACUCCCCACCGGCGGUGAAUGGCCACGGCCAUGAGUCCGCGAGCCGAGCCUUCGGGCGACGCAGACCCGGUGCGAUCCCGGGACCGACGGUCAUAGUCCGGAUGAAAGAACAGAGCA
rnacentral:ncRNA from 2 species